AACGUAGGACGCAAGCGUUAUCCGGAGUUACUGGGCGUAAAGCGCGGGCAGGCGGUCGGUCAAGUCUGAUGUGAAAUCUCUCCGCUCAACGGGGAGCAGCCAUUGGAAACUGGUCGACUGGAGUCUGGCAGAGGUAGGCGGAAUUCCGGGUGGAGUGGUGAAAUGCGUAGAGAUCCGGAGGAACACCAGAGGCGAAGGCGGCCUACUGGGCCAGUACUGACGCUGAGCCGCGAAAGCCAGGGGAGCGAACGGG
rnacentral:rRNA from 1 species